rnacentral:rRNA from 1 species
UAGGGAAUAUUGGACAAUGGGUGAGAGCCUGAUCCAGCCAUGCCGCGUGCAGGAAGAAGGCGUUAUGCGUUGUAAACUGCUUUUUGCCAGGGGAUAAAAAGACCGUGCGCGGUUAAUUGAAGGUACCUGGUGAAUAAGCCACGGCUAACUACGUGCCAGCAGCCGCGGUAAUACGUAGGUGGCAAGCGUUGUCCGGAUUUAUUGGGUUUAAAGGUGCGUAGGUGGCCCUGUAAGUCAGUGGUGAAAUAUCUCAGCUUAACUGAGAGGGUGCCAUUGAUACUGCAGGGCUUGAGUACAGAUGAGGUAGGCGGAAUUGACGGUGUAGCGGUGAAAUGCAUAGAUAUCGUCAAGAACACCGAUAGCGAAGGCAGCUUACCAAGCUGUAACUGACACUGAGGCACGAAAGUGUGGGGAUCAAACAGGAUUAGAUACCCAUGUAGUCCCUGAGCGGGCUGGCAAGGCGCAU